UUGGAUUGCACGUCUAAGCAGUAAGGCUGAGUAUUAGGCAAAUCCGGUACUCGUUAAGGCUGAGCUGUGAUGGGGAGAAGACAUUGAGUCUUCGAGUCGUUGAUUUCACACUGCCGAGAAAAGCCUCUAGAUAGAAAAUAGGUGCCCGUACCGCAAACCGACACAGGUAGUCAAGAUGAGAAUUCUAAGGUGAGCGAGCGAACUCUCGUUAAGGAACUCGGCAAAAUGACCCCGUAACUUCGGGAGAAGGGGUGCUCUUUAGGGUUAACGCCCAGAAGAGCCGCAGUGAAUAGGCCCAAGCGACUGUUUAUCAAAAACACAGGUCUCUGCUAAACCGUAAGGUGAUGUAUAGGGGCUGACGCCUGCCCGGUGCUGGAAGGUUAAGAGGAGUGGUUAGCUUCUGCGAAGCUACGAAUCGAAGCCCCAGUAAACGGCGGCCGUAACUAUAACGGUCCUAAGGUAGCGAAAUUCCUUGUCGGGUAAGUUCCGACCCGCACGAAAGGCGUAACGAUUUGGGCACUGUCUCAACGAGAGACUCGGUGAAAUCAUAGUACCUGUGAAGAUGCAGGUUACCCGCGACAGGACGGAAAGACCCCGUGGAGCUUUACUGUAGCCUGAUAUUGAAAUUCGGCACAGCUUGUACAGGAUAGGUAGGAGCCUUUGAAACGUGAGCGCUAGCUUACGUGGAGGCGCUGCUGGGAUACUACCCUAGCUGUGUUGGCUUUCUAACCCGCACCACUUAUCGUGGUGGGAGACAGUGUCAGGCGGGCAGUUUGACUGGGGCGGUCGCCUCCUAAAAGGUAACGGAGGCGCUCAAAGGUUCCCUCAGAAUGGUUGGAAAUCAUUCAUAGAGUGUAAAGGCAUAAGGGAGCUUGACUGCGAGACCUACAAGUCGAGCAGGGUCGAAAGACGGACUUAGUGAUCCGGUGGUUCCGCAUGGAAGGGCCAUCGCUCAACGGAUAAAAGCUACCCCGGGGAUAACAGGCUUAUCUCCCCCAAGAGUUCACAUCGACGGGGAGGUUUGGCACCUCGAUGUCGGCUCAUCGCAUCCUGGGGCUGUAGUCGGUCCCAAGGGUUGGGCUGUUCGCCCAUUAAAGCGGUACGCGAGCUGGGUUCAGAACGUCGUGAGACAGUUCGGUCCCUAUCCGUCGUGGGCGUAGGAAAUUUGAGAGGAGCUGUCCUUAGUACGAGAGGACCGGGAUGGACAUACCUCUGGUGUACCAGUUGUCGUGCCAACGGCAUAGCUGGGUAGCUAUGUGUGGACGGGAUAAGUGCUGAAAGCAUCUAAGCAUGAAGCCCCCCUCAAGAUGAGAUUUCCCAACUUCGGUUAUAAGAUCCCUCAAAGAUGAUGAGGUUAAUAGGUUCGAGGUGGAAGCAUGGUGACAUGUGGAGCUGACGAAUACUAAUCGAUCGAAGACUUAAUCAA
rnacentral:rRNA from 1 species